rnacentral:tRNA from 1 species
GCUCCAGUAGCUCAGCUGGAUAGAGCACCGGCCUUCUAAGCCGGGGGUCGCAGGUUCGAGUCCUGCCUGGGGCGCCUCGU